rnacentral:snRNA from 1 species
AUACUCACCUGGUGCCGGGGCCUCUUUGAUCCCCGAGGACGAACCCCCAGGGCGCAAACGGGCAUUGCACUACGCUCGUGUUGGCCCCGGCCACUACCCCAGACUGGGGCAGAUGGGGCAUGCGAAUUUCUUAAAUCCGGUUCAACGCAAGAGAGGGCGUCAUCGC